rnacentral:rRNA from 1 species
AUACGGAGGGUGCAAACGUUGUUCGGAAUUACUGGGCGUAAAGCGCGCGUAGGCGGUUUGUUAAGUCAGAUGUGAAAGUCCACAGCUCAACUGUGGAAGUGCAUUUGAAACUGGCAGACUUGAGUACUGGAGGGGGUGGUGGAAUUCCCGGUGUAGAGGUGAAAUUCGUAGAUAUCGGGAGGAAUACCGGUGGCGAAGGCGACCACCUGGCCAGAUACUGACGCUGAGGUGCGAAAGCGUGGGUAGCAAACAGAAUUAGAAACCCUAGUAGUCC